ensembl:lncRNA
GAGGAACCACCCCUGCACUGCAGAGGAAGGGCCGUGACAAAGAGUACAACAACUUCAGGAUUACAAGAAGAAACAACAACUAGAGGUGAGAUAUCUGCAUUAUUAUCAGGAUUACAAGAAGAAACAACAACUAGAGGUGAGAUAUCUGCAUUAUUAUCAGGAUUACAAGAAGAAACAACAACUAGAGGUGAGAUAUCUGCAUUAUUAUCAGGAUUACAAGAAGAAACAACAACUAGAGGUGAGAUAUCUGCAUUAUUAUCAGGAUUACAAGAAGAAACAACAACUAGAGGUGAGAUAUCUGCAUUAUUAUCAGGAUUACAAGAAGAAACAACAACUAGAGGUGAGAUAUCUGCAUUAUUAUCAGGAUUACAAGAAGAAACAACAACUUCAGACUCUGUGGAACAAUGAUUCCAAGCACCUCCCUCCUUUUGAAGUUUCCAGUCUGUUAUUCAAACUCAAUCAGCAUGACAGAGUGAUCUCCAGCCUUGUCCUCCUCAACACUCACACCUGUGUUAACGAGAGAAUCACUGACAUGAUGUCAGCUGGUCCUUUUGUCGCAGGGCUGAAAUGCAAUGGAAAUGUUUUUUGGGGGAUUCAGUUAAUUUGCAUGGAAAAGAGGGACUAAUUAAUAAUAAUAAUAAUAAUAAUUGCGAUUAAUUUCAAUUCAUCUGAUCACUCUUCAUAACAUUCUGGAGUGUAUGCAAAUUGCCAUCAUACAAACUGAGGCAGCAGACUGUGUGAAAAUGUAUAUUUGUGUCAUUCUCAAAACUUUUGGCCACGGCUGUACAAUGUUAAAACAUUCCACAUUGUGACAUCAUUAAAAUACUCCUACUACAA